GGGUUGUGAGGUUAAGCGACUAAGCGUACACGGUGGAUGCCCUGGCAGUCAGAGGCGAUGAAGGACGUGCUAAUCUGCGAUAAGCGUCGGUAAGGUGAUAUGAACCGUUGUAACCGGCGAUUUCCGAAUGGGGAAACCCAGUGUGAUUCGUCACACUAUCAUUAACUGAAUCCAUAGGUUAAUGAGGCGAACCGGGGGAACUGAAACAUCUAAGUACCCCGAGGAAAAGAAAUCAACCGAGAUUCCCCCAGUAGCGGCGAGCGAACGGGGAGCAGCCCAGAGCCUGAAUCAGUGUGUGUGUUAGUGGAAGCGUCUGGAAAGGCGCGCGAUACAGGGUGACAGCCCCGUACACAAAAAUGCACAUAUUGUGAGCUCGAUGAGUAGGGCGGGACACGUGGUAUCCUGUCUGAAUAUGGGGG
rnacentral:rRNA from 1 species